rnacentral:rRNA from 1 species
CUGAUGUUAGCGGCGGACGGGUGAGUAACACGUGGGUAACCUACCUAUAAGACUGGGAUAACUCCGGGAAACCGGGGCUAAUACCGGAUAAUAUUUUGAACCGCAUGGUUCGAUAGUGAAAGACGGUUUCGGCUGUCACUUAUAGAUGGACCCGCGCCGUAUUAGCUAGUUGGUAAGGUAACGGCUUACCAAGGCGACGAUACGUAGCCGACCUGAGAAGGUGAUCGGCCACACUGGAACUGAGACACGGUCCAGACUCCUACGGGAGGCAGCAGCG